GAACGAGGAUAUAUCCUUCGGGAUGUAAGCCGAGUGGCACAAGGGUGAGCAAUGCAUAGAUUACCUACCUUUAGGAUAAGGGCAACUUUGUGAAAACGGAGCUAAUACUUAAUAAUACAAAUGAAAAUAAUUUUCUUUUGUCAAAGGGAGGGUAGCAAUACCUUUCGCCUAGAGAGGGGUUUAUGUCCUAUCAGCUUGUUGGUGGGGUAAUAGCCCACCAAGGCGAAGACGGGUAGCCGGUUUAAGAGGAUGGUCGGCCACACUGGGACUGAGACACUGCCCAGACUUCUACGGAAGGCUGCAGUCGAGAAUCUUUCGCAAUGCCCGAAAGGGUGACGAAGCGACGCCGCGUGGGUGAAGAAGGCCUUCGGGUUGUAAAGCCCUGUCAGGAGUUAUGAAAUGUAAGUGCGCUAAUAUCGUGCUUAUUUGACAAAGGCUCCAAAGGAAGCCACGGCUAACUCUGUGCCAGCAGCCGCGGUAAUACAGAGGUGGCGAGCGUUGUUCGGAAUUAUUGGGCGUAAAGAGCACGUAGGUGGGUUUGCAAGUCAGAUGUGAAAGCCUUCUGUUCAACGGAAGAAUUGCAUCUGAAACUGCUAAUCUUGAGUAUAGGAGGGGAGAAUGGAACUUCUGGUGGAGCGGUGAAAUGCGUAGAUAUCAGAAGGAACGCCGGCGGCGAAAGCGAUUCUCUGGCCUAUUACUGACACUCAGUGUGCGAAAGCUAGGGGAGCAAACGGGAUUAGAUACCCCGGUAGUCCUAGCCGUAAACGAUGGGCACUAAGUAGAGGGAAUUACCUAUAUUCUCUCUGCCGUAGCUAACGCAUUAAGUGCCCCGCCUGGGGAGUACGGCCGCAAGGCUAAAACUCAAAAGAAUUGACGGGGGCUCGCACAAGCGGUGGAGCAUGUGGCUUAAUUCGAUGCAACGCGAAAAACCUUACCGGGGCUUGACAUGAUAGAAGUAGGAACCUGAAAGGGGGACGAACGGUAUCCAGUCCGUAGCUAUCACAGGUGUUGCAUGGCUGUCGUCAGCUCGUGUCGUGAGACGUUGGGUUAAGUCCCCUAACGAGCGAAACCCUUGUUUUUAGUUACCAGCGGGUUAUGCCGGGUACUCUAGAAAGACUGCCGUCGUCAAGACGGAGGAAGGUGGGGAUGACGUCAAGUCAUCAUGGCCCUUAUGCCCCGGGCUGCACACGUGCUACAAUGGUCGGUACAGACGGAAGCGAAGCCGAGAGGUGAAGCGAAUCCUAAAAAGCCGAUCUCAGUUCGGAUUGGAGGCUGAAAUUCGCCUCCAUGAAGUUGGAAUCGCUAGUAAUCGCGGAUCAGCAAUGUCGCGGUGAAUAUGUUCCCGAGCCUUGUACACACCGCCCGUCAAGCCACCCAAGCAGGAUGCACCCGAAAACAUUAUAUCUAACCAGGGCAACUUGGAGGAAAAUGUUGAAGGAGUGUUUUGUGA
rnacentral:rRNA from 1 species